rnacentral:rRNA from 1 species
UGACGUUGGGAAAGCGAGCGGCGGAUGGGUGAGUAACACGUGGGGAACCUGCCCCUAAGUCUGGGAUACCAUUUGGAAACAGGUGCUAAUACCGGAUAAUAAAGCAGAUCGCAUGAUCAGCUUUUGAAAGGCGGCGUAAGCUGUCGCUAAGGGAUGGCCCCGCGGCGCAUUAGCUAGUUGGUAAGGUAACGGCUUACCAAGGCGACGAUGCAUAGCCGAGUUGAGAGACUGAUCGGCCACAUUGGGACUGAGACACGGCCCAAACUCCUACGGGAGGCAGCAGUAGGGAAUCUUCCACAAUGGACGCAAGUCUGAUGGAGCAACGCCGCGUGAGUGAAGAAGGUUUUCGGAUCGUAAAGCUCUGUUGUUGGUGAAGAAGGAUAGAGGUAGUAACUGGCCUUUAUUUGACGGUAAUCAACCAGAAAGUCACGGCUAACUACGUGCCAGCAGCCGCGGUAAUACGUAGGUGGCAAGCGUUGUCCGGAUUUAUUGGGCGUAAAGCGAGCGCAGGCGGAAAAAUAAGUCUAAUGUGAAAGCCCUCGGCUUAACCGAGGAACUGCAUCGGAAACUGUUUUUCUUGAGUGCAGAAGAGGAGAGUGGAACUCCAUGUGUAGCGGUGGAAUGCGUAGAUAUAUGGAAGAACACCAGUGGCGAAGGCGGCUCUCUGGUCUGCAACUGACGCUGAGGCUCGAAAGCAUGGGUAGCGAACAGGAUUAGAUACCCUGGUAGUCCAUGCCGUAAACGAUGAGUGCUAAGUGUUGGGAGGUUUCCGCCUCUCAGUGCUGCAGCUAACGCAUUAAGCACUCCGCCUGGGGAGUACGACCGCAAGGUUGAAACUCAAAGGAAUUGACGGGGGCCCGCACAAGCGGUGGAGCAUGUGGUUU